rnacentral:tRNA from 1 species
AAGGUCUGUGAAAUUCUGAUUCACAUCUCCUGAAUGCAACUCAAGCACUUUAAUUAAGCUAAAACCUC